GUGGGGGAUGCUGCUGAGGGGCCACUGUUGAGGGUGGAAGACGACCCGGCAGACCAAGAGAUUUUCGAGCUGUGAAAGGAAGAGAGAGAGAAUGAGAUACAGCCAUGGCAGGAAGAAGAGCAACACGCUUAAGAAAUUUUUCCUGUAGGCCCCCCUGCUCAAGACCUCUGAUCAUCUUCAUGGCCCUACUCUGGCCCUCCUUUUCCUCAGCAAGUGACUCAGCCGGGCAAGGACAAACACAACAUCACCUUGACUCCAACAGACUCAUGGCAUCCAGACAAAUUGCAUCUGUCUUGCUAUGAACCAGUGACUGUAGGAGUCUCAUAUUUCUGAAGAUAACUCUGCUCCUCCCUCAACUGGGGCUGAACUGCCCCAGCUCCAUGUGCUCUUGCUGCCUUUCAUCUAGUAUUUUAUCAGCUAGUGUGUUUAAAAUAACAUCACUGCCCAUCCUGCCCUGGAGCAAUUUUGAAUCAGAUGAUGGGAGAGAAGAGUGUGAUGCUUCCCUCUGAAUAAGCUCUGAGCUGUUGAAAACACUUGGAUCUGGGCCUGUGAGCCAAAAUAUCCUGCCCACUCCUAAAAAUCCUCAGGGCUGGACUGCUGUACAUGAUUACCAGCACUUAGAACUGCCAUUUAACAAGUGAGAGUGAAGGACGUCUGCUGGAAACUACUGGGGCAGACAGAGGUGCUAACAGAUUCCAGGAACUUGGCAAGGAAAGCAACCAGCCACCCACGCAUUGCUGAACCAUGCUUUUUGGACAAAAUGGUCAAGAACCUGAGGUUAUCCACCAAAAUGCCUCCUGUUCACAAUGCUGGAUUCAGAUUAAAAGGGUUUCUGACUUCCUGCACUUCUGCACGGCAUAAGCCCAGCCCUCAAUGCCUGUGACAACUGUAGGAUCUCCAAUCCAUUUGUGCUAGUGACAAGCUCUGUGUGCUAACCUUGAAGAUGUGUGAGCUGGGCAAGUAGCACCUACACAUUUGCUUCCUGCAAAGUUCCUUCUUUCUCCCCCACAAAGCUUACCAUCCACUUCAGCAUGAUGGUGGUCUCAUUAAUGGCAUCUGUAAAGGUGAUGUAUGGCCCAGCCACAGGGCGCUCGUAGACUCGGUUGUUGUGCCCAGACACCACAUAUGGCCGAGAUGCUGCACUGGGCUCACUUUCUCCCAGGAUGUUCAGUGCUCGGACACGAAACUUAUAGGAAAAGCCUUGGGAAGAAAUGGGGAAUAAAAGAAGUUUCACUAAGAUAGCAUUGAUGUAUUUCAAGAGUUCUAUUGUCACCACAGGCCUGGCAGUGGAGAGGGGGCUGUGUCUUCUCCAGAAAGUGAAAAAAAGUAUAGAGAUGCUUUGGUUGAAGUACAAACACAUUUCAGCCAUGUGAUAGACAGAGUCUGCCUUUAUUUGUCUCUCCCAGUUCCUGUCUGUUUGGUCUAGAAGUCAUGUAGCAGUUAUGGGAGGUGGGGUGGAUGGCUGGAUUCAGAGAUGCCUGAAAUUUGCCCUUACCCUCAAGCAGGUAUGAGAUAGCAUCCUUCCUCUAUUGCACAGAAAUUAGCUACAUAAAUCUCAGAUAAAUGUUCUAAGCCUAAGUCAUUUUAACUGCGACAUCCUUUUUCUGCUCUUUAAGUUUGGAUAGGUAUUUUGCUUUUUAAAGCUGUCCCACUCAGUGAUGCCUUUUUUUCUCAUGUGAAGUUCAAUUGGAAUUGCAUGCCCAUCUGUCUUGCCUGUGGCUACAGAAAGGAAAGUUCUGUCCUAUCUAGUAAAUUGCAAAAACAAGACACUAAUGCCUUUAGUAACUAUGUCCCGUAAUACAGAAAAGCAUGCAUGAGCCUCCCUGAGGGAGGUCAAAUCUAUGCUGGUCUCUGCAGCUGGAGAAAUUGGAGAAGCAUUUACAGCAUUUCCCCAUACACAUAAGGCUGGAGCUGGGGAGGCUUUGUUCUGCUUACACGUGCCAGGGCUGAGUGUGAUGUGACAGAUGGUUCACCAUCCUAUAGGGACUGCACGGCUUUCCUACAGAACCCGGGAAGCGGAGAGGAGAACACCUGCCUACCUUUUUCCAGGUCUGGGAUUUCCACAGAGAGGCGAGAGGGAGGAAUGUCACUGGUGGCCAGGACCCAGUCUCCCGACUUCUUCUGUUUCUUAUAUUCCACGCGGAAAGACUGGAUAGGAAAUCCACCAUUCCCACGGGGGAUCCAGGUCACAUACACAGAUGUCUCUGAUGCCAUGGAGAUGGUUGGACGAUCUGGUGCCUCUGGAGCUGCAAGGGGCAUGGGUGGAUGUCAAGACAUUCUCAACAUGUCUCAAGGAUUCUGUAGCUCAGAGGGAUGUGGGUAAAGGAUGGCCUGCAUCACACCCACCCAUGUGCUCUCUAAGUCCCAAGUGCUCUUCAUUAGAGCUGGGACUCCCUCACUCAUUUCAGUUUGUGUUCUCCAAAUAUCUUUUACUGCUGUUUACAUCUCACUCCUUUUCCCCUUUCCAGCUCAAGUAAGGUAUGUGCAACCAUCAUAGAAGAGACAGCAAUGAGAAGUGUGGAUGCAGGUCUGGAGACAGACAUCAGGCCUCACUCAUGUGGGAGCAGCAAGCAGGGGCAGAUUGACACUGGGGACAGAAAAGGGACAGAUGGGUAGGAGAUGAAAACAGGAAGGGCCUUGCCCAGAGCCUUACGGGACAGCCGGCUGUUGUCAGACUGGUUGCUGCUCUGAGUGCUCGUGCCUGGGUCAUCCCUCUGGAUUUGCUGUUCUUUGCUGGCAACAAUCUCUGGUUUUGGGCGCCGGCCUGUGUAGGAUGGAGAGAUGGCAUCAAGGACAUGGUGGUGUGAGUGAGAGUUAAUUUUUGCUGUGAUGAACAAAGAAAAUAUUCCUAGUCGCAAUGCUUAAGUAAAUAGCCUUUGGACUCAAACAGCCCUGAGCGCUCAAAGUGCUCAGCUUGCAGAGAGGAACUAAAGCAACAAAGGCAGAUUUACUAUACUGUUAAUUGAUUUAUUUUUGCCCCCACUAACAUUUAAUUUUCUAAAACUUCUAAUUAGUUUUUUGAAAAUCUUGUUAGAUUUCUGCCUGAGCAGGAGGUAAUCAGUGCAGUGCAGAGCCUGAGAAGGUAUGUGAGCAGCCCUCUCCACAGGGAAGGUUUCUACGAAGGGAAUGCCAUACUCCACACAUUCUGGGGACAGGAAAAGCAGCACUGGGACAGGAGGAUUGAGCUGAGACUUUUGAAGCAUCCUUUUGGCGGUACAGGCUGCUGACAGGGAAGGCUUGGAUUUUCUCUUAAGAACAGCUUAGAGAAACACCUAUCAGGAAUAAGUCCCAAAGGCAGAUCCUUUCUCCAGGCAGGGGAAGGAUUAAGCAACCUCCUGACAUCUCUCCCAGGCCUAUUUUCUGUGGUUCUGCAGGUGUCCAACUGAGACACCGAGAGAGGAAUGAGGGCACCCCACUGCCUCAGAGCAAAAUACCCCAGGACUGUUUUGACCUUUACCAGUCCGGAAGGUCACCAUGGCCGUCUGUCCCUCGCCAGCGCAGUUGUGAGCGGCCAUCUCCACCUCGUAGAGGCUUCCAGGAUCCAACCUGGUGAGUGUCAGGCGGUGCUGCGAGGCUGGCACAUCUCUCACUGCCCAGCUGUCUGAGGCGUUGGCCACCUGUGGGAAGAACAAUGCAGGCAAUGGACAGAGUUAAGGCUGUGCAGCCUCACCUUGAGUGAUUCUUGGCUGAACUUCAAUGCCCCCUGCAGGAAAUGGAUGCCGUGUGGCUGUGCCCCCAGAAAGACGUGGAAACAUAUUUUGUUUUUCAGUGAUGUCUCUCCACCCUGUACAGAGCAGGAGGGAAGGUGGGAUUCUCUGCCUUCUCCCCAGCUGCAAGGAUAAUAUUUUUGCAGGCAAACACACAGGACACUGAGGUGACCCGGUGCCGAAAGCAGCAUUAGCAAUGCAGGCAACGCGACAAAACGGAAAUGCCAGGACUCAGCCGUAUCAUUCAUCUUCUCCAGGCGUUUGACACUGACUGAUUAAUGCCUGCCUCAUUUUAUUUUUAUUCCUGAGCCUACAGAGCUCUGAGGCCAGGGAGGGGAACUCUGAAGACUGCUAAGUAUCCAGGAAAGAAAAAGUGAAAUUCUUCAGAAACAAAGAUAAUAACUAUAUGGCAUUUGACUGCUUGCAGGCUGCUGAGAUUUUAGGGUCGGUGUAGGAGCAGCGAGAAGAGACACCCGUAGAUAUUUUGCAGAGGAGAAACACUCUUGCCCAGACAAUUUUAAGCCUCCUGUCAGAAGGUUUUACUUUCCUCGGCCAUCUCUCACACAAAGAGCCUUUUCUUUUGUUGCUGAAUUGAUUCCUUCCCUCUCCACACACAUGCUUUUCCAGUCAGAGAUGUUUAAACCAGAUCAUUAUAUAACUUGAUCCUACAGAUCUCUUAUAGAAAGAGACUCUUUCUAAACAAGUUUGAGGGUUAUUGGGACUAAUUCCUUUCCACACAAUCCUUCAGCAUCCCAAGAAAGAGUCUCCAGCUGAGAAUUUGGACUACACUGAAAACAUAUUACUGCAAACUGCAGUGACCCACGAUGACCUCCACUGCCCUACAGCCCCUUCCAGGUGAAGCACUGAAAAACAAGUAAAAUAUGGACAAACUCCAGCAUGCAAGCCAAUACUGCAUA